UUAUUUUUUAUACAUAAUGAUUUAAUAGAAUUAAUGUUUUAAUUUGUUACGGCGAGGCUGACUCGCCUUUUAAAAUUAGGCACGCUUACCGUUCAUUCAGUCUGAAAUGUAAGUUUUUAUCGAAACCAUGGCUGUCUCUCGCUGCUUGUGCAGUAUGGUUACUAUUAUGAUGAUUACCGGUUCGAACGCGGUUCAUGAUAGAACCAUUGUCGAUGAGGACGUUAACAAUUACGAUGACAUCCUUGACGCCAUUUAUAAAGGCAAAUAUUACAGAAGCAAUGAUGAUAUUUACAAAGA